AGUGAACGCUGGCGGUAGGCCUAACACAUGCAAGUCGAACGGCAGCACAGAGGAGCUUGCUCCUUGGGUGGCGAGUGGCGGACGGGUGAGGAAUACAUCGGAAUCUACUCUGUCGUGGGGGAUAACGUAGGGAAACUUACGCUAAUACCGCAUACGACCUACGGGUGAAAGCAGGGGACCUUCGGGCCUUGCGCGAUUGAAUGAGCCGAUGUCGGAUUAGCUAGUUGGCGGGGUAAAGGCCCACCAAGGCGACGAUACGUAGCUGGUCUGAGAGGAUGAUCAGCCACACUGGAACUGAGACACGGUCCAGACUCCUACGGGAGGCAGCAGUGGGGAAUAUUGGACAAUGGCGCAAGCCUGAUCCAGCCAUACCGCGUGGGUGAAGAAGGCCUUCGGGUUGUAAAGCCCUUUUGUUGGGAAAGAAAUCCAGCUGGUUAAUACCCGGUUGGGAUGACGGUACCCAAAGAAUAAGCACCGGCUAACUUCGUGCCAGCCGCCGCCGUAA
rnacentral:rRNA from 1 species